rnacentral:rRNA from 1 species
AUGUCAAUAGCCGUGAUCCUAUUGCUCGUCACGCUUGGUGUCGAUGGCGUCUCAAGUCUCUCUGCCGCUGCGCGCACGGACGGCAUAGAGAUGGCGGCCAUGCAAGCGAUCGCCAAGUCUACCGGCGCGGACAGGUCGCUCGGGUGGGGCGUCAAGUCGGCGGAUCCAUGCGACGGCACUUGGCCAGGCGUCCGCUGCGACAAAGAUUCGCACGUCGUCGCCAUCAACGCCAGCCGCGCCGGCCUCUCCGGCACUCUCUCCGGCACCGACCUCGUCGACCUCGGGUACCUCACGGAGCUCGACCUCAACUUCAACCGCCUGGGCGACGACAUGCCGAUCCUCCCAAGGCCUCUCACCUACCUGACGACCCUCAACCUACAGUCCAAUUCCUUCAUGGGCAUGCCAGAGACCUUCUUCCGCUCCUUCCCCGCGCUGGAGACCGUGGUCCUCGACGACAACUGGGUUAUAAUGGGGGAGCUUCUCGGCCAACAACGUCACCAUCUAUGGCCGCUUCCCGGCCUACUUCGGCAACACCACCCUUUUCCCUGUCCUUGA